AACGACUCUCGGCAACGGAUAUCUCGGCUCUCGCAUCGAUGAAGAACGUAGCGAAAUGCGAUACUUGGUGUGAAUUGCAGAAUCCCGUGAACCAUCGAGUCUUUGAACGCAAGUUGCGCCCGAAGCCAUCAGGUUGAGGGCACGUCUGCCUGGGCGUCACGC
rnacentral:rRNA from 2 species